rfam:Ostreococcus tauri chloroplast, complete genome.
GUCCCGAUAGCCUAAUGGAUAGGGCUCCAACCUUCUAAGUUGUGUCGUGUAGGUUCGAUUCCUACUCGGGACG